GUUUCAGCCGCCGCGGUAAUACGGGGGGUGCAAGCGUUGUUCGGAAUUAUUGGGCGUAAAGAGCGUGUAGGCGGCUUGAUAAGUCAGAUGUGAAAGCCCUGGGCUUAACCCAGGAAGUGCAUUUGAAACUGUCUCGCUAGAAUAAGGGAGGGGGAAGUGGAAUUCCUGGUGUAGAGGUGGAAUUCGUAGAUAUCAGGAGGAACACCGGUGGCGAAGGCGACUUCCUGGCCCUAUAUUGACGCUGAGACGCGAGAGCGUGGGUAGCAAACAGGAUUAGAUACCCGCGUAGUCC
rnacentral:rRNA from 1 species